UGGGGAAUAUUGGACAAUGGGCGCAAGCCUGAUCCAGCCAUGCCGCGUGAGUGAUGAAGGCCCUAGGGUUGUAAAGCUCUUUCACCGGUGAAGAUAAUGACGGUAACCGGAGAAGAAGCCCCGGCUAACUUCGUGCCAGCAGCCGCGGUAAUACGAAGGGGGCUAGCGUUGUUCGGAUUUACUGGGCGUAAAGCGCACGUAGGCGGACUAUUAAGUCAGGGGUGAAAUCCCGGGGCUCAACCCCGGAACUGCCUUUGAUACUGGUAGUCUUGAGUUCGAGAGAGGUGAGUGGAAUGCCGGGUGUAGAGGUGAAAUUCGUGGAUAUUCGGAGGAACACCAGUGGCGAAGGCGGCUCACUGGCUCGAUACUGACGCUGAGGUGCGAAAGCGUGGGGAGCAAACAGG
rnacentral:rRNA from 1 species